UUCAAGACUUAGCCUAGACUCUUUCGUAGUGAGUUGAUCUCACAUUUCAUUCUCACAAAUUCUUAACUCCACUUCAAUCCAUGGAAAUUCCUCUCGAGUUUCUUUAAUGCUUUUGCUCCUCCAAUCUGCUUCACCAUCCAUCCAAAGAAGAAAUUAGAAAGAUCACUAUUAGAAGAAGAGAGUUUUCCAUCAUUUGGUAACCAGAGCUUUGGUGAUUCGAAUCGGUUUUUAACAUUCGUGCAGUGCGGUUUUGGACAAUUUGCAAAAUGUUGCGAUUUUCGGCAAUGACAAUUUUUUGAGUUCAGUGAUUGAACGAAGCUGACUUCACGUGUGCGAUUUCAUCUUCAUAUGAACAAUGCUAGAAGAGGAGUGGGAAUUGGAAUUGGAAGUUGAAGAUAGAGAAGUUGAGUCCUCACGAUAAUUUUUUAUUCUUCUCACCUUCAUUUCCAUCACGACAUCGCCGACUGUCUCAUCUUUCAUUACUGUAGUGAACAACAAACAGAAGCGGUGAGGUGAACGACAAUUAGAAGUGAUGAAUCUGGCGUUUUCUUAUCAAAGCUCCAACGCUCACGUCAUAGUUCUUCAAUAUUUACUUCGAUAGGUUUUAAUCAAAACAAUGUUUCUAUUGUUGCUACACUGCUGAAAUUAGCAUUCACGGUGAAAUUCACUACAAGAAAAUAGUAAAUUAGAGACCAAAUUUAAGUGUCCCUAAUGUGAGUUGAUUUUAGAUUGUUCC
rnacentral:lncRNA from 1 species